AGGUACUUAGUCCAAACUUAAGACUAUUGAUUUCGGCUUAGUAAAUUAUGGUGAAACCCCAUAAGUAUCUUC
rnacentral:tRNA from 1 species